UACGGGGGGGGGCAAGCGUUGUUCGGAAUUACUGGGCGUAAAGGGUGCGUAGGCGGCUUUCUAAGUCGGAUGUGAAAACUCUGGGCUCAACCCAGAGCCUGCAUCCGAAACUGGAGAGCUAGGGUUCUGGAGGGGGAAAGCGGAAUUCCUGGUGUAGCGGUGAAAUGCGUAGAUAUCAGGAGGAACACCGGUGGCGAAGGCGGCUCACUGGGGCUUAUCUGACGCUGAGGAACGAAAGCCAAGGGAGCAAACAGG
rnacentral:rRNA from 1 species